rnacentral:rRNA from 1 species
UACGUAGGGUGCGAGCGUUAAUCGGAAUUACUGGGCGUAAAGCGUGCGUAGGCGGUUCCUCAAGUCUGUUGUGAAAGCCCCGGGCUCAACCUGGGAAUGGCAGUGGAAACUAGGGGACUGGAAUCUGGCAGAGGGGGGUGGAAUGCCGCGUGUAGCAGUGAAAUGCGUAGAGAUGCGGCGGAACACCGAUGGCGAAGGCAGCCCCCUGGGCUGAGAUUGACGCUCAGGCACGAAAGCGUGGGGAGCAAACAGG